GACGAACGCUAGCGGCGUGCUUAACACAUGCAAGUCGAACGAUGAACCCGGAGCUUGCUCCGGUGGAUUAGUGGCGAACGGGUGAGUAACACGUGAGUAACCUGCCCUUGACUCUGGGAUAACUGCGGGAAACUGUAGCUAAUACCGGAUACGACCCUCGGCGGCAUCGCCAGGGGGUGGAAAGAAUUUCGGUCAAGGAUGGACUCGCGGCCUAUCAGCUAGUUGGUGAGGUAACGGCUCACCAAGGCGACGACGGGUAGCCGGCCUGAGAGGGUGACCGGCCACACUGGGACUGAGACACGGCCCAGACUCCUACGGGAGGCAGCAGUGGGGAAUAUUGCACAAUGGGCGCAAGCCUGAUGCAGCAACGCCGCGUGAGGGAUGACGGCCUUCGGGUUGUAAACCUCUUUCGGCAGGAACGAAACGGUAGUUACUAAUACUAGCUGCUAAUGACGGUACCUGAAGAAGAAGCACCGGCUAAC
rnacentral:rRNA from 1 species